AUUGAACGCUGGCGGAAUGCUUUACACAUGCAAGUCGAACGGCAGCACGGACUUCGGUCUGGUGGCGAGUGGCGAACGGGUGAGUAAUGUAUCGGAACGUGCCCAGUCGUGGGGGAUAACGUAGUGAAAAUUACGCUAAUACCGCAUACGAUCUAUGGAUGAAAGCGGGGGAUCGCAAGACCUCGCGCGAUUGGAGCGGCCGAUAUCAGAUUAGGUAGUUGGUGGGGUAAAGGCCCACCAAGCCAACGAUCUGUAGCUGGUCUGAGAGGACGACCAGCCACACAGGAACGGAGACACGGUCCAGACUCCUACGGGAAGCAGCAGUGGGGAAUUUUGGACAAUGGGCGAAAGCCUGAUCCAGCCAUUCCGCGUGCAGGAUGAAGGCCCUCGGGUUGUAAACUGCUUUUGUACAGAACGAAAAGGUUUCUACUAAUACUAGGAGCUCAUGACGGUACUGUAAGAAUAAGCACCGGCUAACUACGUGCCAGCCGCCGCAGUAA
rnacentral:rRNA from 1 species